rnacentral:rRNA from 1 species
AUUGAACGCUGGCGGCAUGCUUUACACAUGCAAGUCGAACGGCAGCGCGGGCUUCGGCCUGGCGGCGAGUGGCGAACGGGUGAGUAAUGCAUCGGAACGUGCCCCGUAGUGGGGGAUAGCCCGGCGAAAGCCGGAUUAAUACCGCAUACGACCUGAGGGUGAAAGCGGGGGACCGAAAGGCCUCGCGCUAUUGGAGCGGCCGAUGUCGGAUUAGCUAGUUGGUGGGGUAAAGGCUUACCAAGGCGACGAUCCGUAGCUGGUCUGAGAGGACGACCAGCCACACUGGGACUGAGACACGGCCCAGACUCCUACGGGAGGCAGCAGUGGGGAAUUUUGGACAAUGGGGGCAACCCUGAUCCAGCCAGGCCGCGUGCGGGAAGAAGGCCUUCGGGUUGUAAACCGCUUUUGUUCGGGAAGAAAUCCUCUGGGCUAAUACCCCGGGGGGAUGACGGUACCGGAAGAAUAAGCACCGGCUAACUACGUG